UCGUUUGAUGAAUUCAUAGUCAAUCGAGGCGAACCGGGGAAACUGAAACAUCUCAGUACCCCGAGAAAAAGAAAUCAACCGAGAUUCCCCCAGUAGCGGCGAGCGAACGGGGAGCAGCCCAGAGUCAACAUCAAUAUUUACCACAGGAGAAGGGUCUGGAAAAGCCGGCAAUAAAGGGUGAUAGCCCCGUAUCUAAAGCGGUAAGUGUUGUGAACUCGAAGAGUAGGGCGGGACACGUGUUAUCCUGUCUUAAUAUGGGGGGACCAUCCUCCAAGGCUAAAUACUCCUGACUGACCGAUAGUGAACCAGUACCGUGAGGGAAAGGCGAAAAGAACCCCGGCGAGGGGAGUGAAAUAGAACCUAAAACCGUGUACGUACAAGCAGUAGGAGCACCCGAAAGGGUGUGACUGCGUACCUUUUGUAUAAUGGGUCAGCGACUUAUAUUCUGUAGCAAGGUUAACCGCAUAGGGGAGCCGUAGGGAAACCGAGUCUUAACUGGGCGUUAAGUUGCAGGGUAUAGACCCGAAACCCGGUGAUCUAGCCAUAAGCAGGUUGAAGGUUGGGUAACACUAACUGG
rnacentral:rRNA from 1 species